rnacentral:rRNA from 1 species
CAAAUUUGAAAUCCCCCCGGGGAGUUGUAAUUUGAAGAUUGCGUCUUGGAGGCGACCGUGUCUAUGUUCCUUGGAACAGGACGUCACAGAGGGUGAGAAUCCCGUGCGGCACGGCCCCCGGCUCCUUAUAAGGCGCUCUCGACGAGUCGAGUUGUUUGGGAAUGCAGCUCAAAGUGGGUGGUAAAUUCCAUCUAAAGCUAAAUACAGGCGAGAGACCGAUAGCGAACAAGUACAGUGAUGGAAAGAUGAAAAGCACUUUGAAAAGAGAGUGAAACAGCACGUGAAAUUGUUGAAAGGGAAGGGCAUGCCGUCAGAUUGUCAGUGUGGGUAAGAAGCGGGGUACAAAGACUGUGGAACGUGGCCCUCGGGUGUUAUAGCCGCAGUUCAUGCCCCGUCUCUUUCCGAGGCCUGCU